GAAGAAGUAAAAAAUGGGAAGAAUACAUUAGCUAAAAUGGAGGCGGAGAAAAGACAAUUACAGGACAAAUUGACGGAUCUGGAAAAGGAGAAGAGCAACAUGGAAUAGAUAUGACUUACAAGCUUAAAGUCAUGCAGCAAAACUUGGAGCAAGAAGAGGUUGAACAUAAAGCGACAAAAGCCGGGCUAGCAGACAAAAACAAAUAUAUAAAUCGAUUGAAGAAGCUAAGUCUGAAGCUAUGAAAGAAAUGGAAAAGAAACUUUCAGAAGAAAGAAUUACAAAGCAAAAAGUGGAAAACUGUUUACUGGAGGUUGAAAAGCAGUGUUCUAUGU